UGCGUAGGCGGCCUUGUAAGUAUGGUGUGAAAUCUCCCGGCUUAACUGGGAGGGUGCGCUAUUAACUGCAGGGCUAGAGUGCGGGAGAGGAAAGUGGAAUUCCUGGUGUAGCGGUGAAAUGCGUAGAUAUCAGGAGGAACACCGGUGGUGUAAACGGCUUUCUGGACCGUAACUGACGCUGAGGCACGAAAGCGUGGGUAGCAAACAGGAUUAGAUACCCUGGUAGUCCACGCCCUAAACGAUGCAUAUUUGGUGUGGGCCAUUCAGUUGGUCCGUGCCGGAGCUAACGCGUUAAAUAUGCCGCCUGGGGAGUACAGUCGCAAGGCUGAA
rnacentral:rRNA from 1 species